rnacentral:ncRNA from 1 species
AAAGGUUUGGUCCUAGCCUUGAAAUCAGUUUAUAUUUAAUAUACACAUGCAAGUCUCCGCACCCCUGUGAAAACGCCCUAAAACCCCUAACAGGGAAUAGGAGCUGGUAUCAGGCACAACCACCCGCCCAAGACACCUAGCCUCGCCACACCCACAAGGGCCCUCAGCAGUGAUUAACAUUGAGCAUAAGCGACAGCUUGACUCAGUCAAAUUAUACAGAGCCGGCCAAUUUGGUGCCAGCCGCCGCGGUUAUACCAAAAGCUCAAAUUGAUUUUUAUCGGCGUAAAGCGUGAUUAAAAGAACCCCCACCCUCUGGAAUCUAAUUAAAGUUAAGCUGUGACACGCCUACUUAUUAAGAAACCCAAAAACGAAAGUUAUUCCAACUUACCCUUGAACUCACGACAGCUGAGAAACAAACUGGGAUUAGAUACCCCACUAUGCUCAGCCGUAAACUUUAAAUUACACCUCAAUCGCCAGGGAACUACGAGCCAAGCUUAAAACCCAAAGGACUUGACGGUACCCCACAUCCCCCUAGAGGAGCCUGUCCUAUAAUCGAUAACCCCCGUUCAACCUCACCAUAUUUUGCUAAUCAGCCUGUAUACCUCCGUCGUCAGCUUACCACGUGAGCGCAGUGAGCUUAAUGUUUUUUCAACUAAACGUCAGGUCAAGGUGCAACUCAUGUUAUGGAAAGAGAUGGGCUACAUUUUCUAAUUUAGACUACACGAAAAACUACCAAUGAAAGUUAGUUAGAAGGCGGAUUUAGAAGUAAAAAGAAACCAGAGAGUUCUUUUAAACCCGGCACUGGGGUGUGUACACACCGCCCGUCACCCUCCUCUUAUGCUACAAACAAUUUUUAAUUUACUCUAGCCCCCACAGAAGAGGUAAGUCGUAACAUGGUAAGUAUACCGGAAGGUGUGCUUGGAUACAA